GACGAACGCUGGCGGCGUGCCUAACACAUGCAAGUCGAACGGAAAGGCCCUGCUUUUGUGGGGUGCUCGAGUGGCGAACGGGUGAGUAACACGUGAGUAACCUGCCCUUGACUUUGGGAUAACUUCAGGAAACUGGGGCUAAUACCGGAUAGGAGCUCCUGCUGCAUGGUGGGGGUUGGAAAGUUUCGGCGGUUGGGGAUGGACUCGCGGCUUAUCAGCUUGUUGGUGGGGUAGUGGCUUACCAAGGCUUUGACGGGUAGCCGGCCUGAGAGGGUGACCGGCCACAUUGGGACUGAGAGACGGCCCAGACUCCUACGGGAGGCAGCAGUGGGGAAUAUUGCACAAUGGGCGGAAGCCUGAUGCAGCAACGCCGCGUGCGGGAUGACGGCCUUCGGGUGGUAAACCGCUUUCGCCUGUGACGAAGCGUGAGUGACGGUAAUGGGUAAAGAAACACCGGCUAACUACGU
rnacentral:rRNA from 1 species